GCCUAGUUAGCUUAGUUGGUAGAGCGUCUGCCUUGUAAGCGCUAGGUCGCGGGUUCGAUUCCCGCCCGGGGCG
rnacentral:tRNA from 1 species